GACGAACGCUGGCGGCGUGCUUAACACAUGCAAGUCGAACGGAAAGGCCCUGCUUUUGUGGGGUGCUCGAGUGGCGAACGGGUGAGUAACACGUGAGUAACCUGCCCUUGACUUUGGGAUAACUUCAGGUAACUGGGGCUAAUACCGGAUAGGAGCUCCUGCUGCAUGGUGGGGGUUGGAAAGUUUCGGCGGUUGGGGAUGGACUCGCGGCUUAUCAGCUUGUUGGUUGGGUAGUGGCUUACCAAGGCUUUGACGGGUAGCCGGCCUGGGAGGGUGACCGGCCACAUUGGGACUGAGAUACGGCCCAGACGCCUACGGGAGGCAGCAGUGGGGAAUAUUGCACAAUGGGCGGAAGCCUGAUGCAGCAACGCCGCGUGCGGGAUGACGGCCUUCGGGUUGUAAACCGCUUUCGCCUGUGACGAAGCGUGAGUGACGGUAAUGGGUAAAGAAGCACCGGCUAACUACGUG
rnacentral:rRNA from 1 species